UGGCGGCGUGGAUAAGACAUGCAAGUCGAACGAGAGAAUUGCUAGCUUGCUAAUAAUUCUCUAGUGGCGCACGGGUGAGUAACACGUGAGUAACCUGCCCCCGAGAGCGGGAUAGCCCUGGGAAACUGGGAUUAAUACCGCAUAGUAUCGAAAGAUUAAAGCAGCAAUGCGCUUGGGGAUGGGCUCGCGGCCUAUUAGUUAGUUGGUGAGGUAACGGCUCACCAAGGCGAUGACGGGUAGCCGGUCUGAGAGGAUGUCCGGCCACACUGGAACUGAGACACGGUCCAGACACCUACGGGUGGCAGCAGUCGAGAAUCAUUCACAAUGGGGGAAACCCUGAUGGUGCGACGCCGCGUGGGGGAAUGAAGGUCUUCGGAUUGUAAACCCCUGUCAUGUGGGAGCAAAUUAAAAAGAUAGUACCACAAGAGGAAGAGACAGCUAACUCUGUGCCAGCAGCCGCGGUAAUACAGAGGUCUCAAGCGUUGUUCGGAAUCACUGGGCGUAAAGCGUGCGUAGGCUGUUUCGUAAGUCGUGUGUGAAAGGCGCGGGCUCAACCCGCGGACGGCACAUGAUACUGCGAGACUAGAGUAAUGGAGGGGGAACCGGAAUUCACGGUGUAGCA
rnacentral:rRNA from 1 species